rnacentral:rRNA from 1 species
UACGAGGGGUGCAAGCGUUGCUCGGAAUUAUUGGGCGUAAAGGGUAGGUAGGUGGUCUUAUUUGUCUGGGGUGAAAGCCUUGAGCUUAACUCAAGAAGUGCCCCAGAAACGGUAAGACUGGAGUCCUGGAGAGGGUCGUGGAAUUCCCGGUGUAGCGGUGAAAUGCGCAGAUAUCAGGAGGAACACCGGUGGCGAAGGCGGGUCUCUGGGCCGAUACUGACGCUGAGGAGCGAAAGCGUGGGGAGCGAACAGG